CAUAUUUGGAAUAAAAAUAGUAUGGUUUUUAAAACAGAAGCAUUGAACAAAGAAUCAGCUCAAUAUCCGCAUGACAUACAUCAUACAUGCAAGCUAAUUAUGUAAAAAAAAAAUAAGUUAUUUUAUUCAUGAUUAUUUGCCUUUACAACCCCAACAAGUAAUAUAAAAUGCUUAAAAAAUAAUUUUGUACUUUAAUGUAGCUCGUUGUGGACUAUACGUUCUCAUUAUAUUCAAUACUCGUAAUACUUCAUGAAUUAAAAAAAAUCUUUCCAAUGAAUUUCGCAAAAUCAUGAAUACAGACUAAUAGCUUGUCAAAUUCUUAGGAAAAUCGUUAAAGCCGUUUUAGACUAUAAAAUGUUGAAACGUUUUGAAGUUUAAGAUUUUUU